rnacentral:rRNA from 1 species
UACGUAGGGGGCGAGCGUUGUCCGGAUUUAUUGGGCGUAAAGAGCUCGUAGGCGGUUUGUUAAGUCAGCUGUGAAAGCCCCGGGCUCAACCUGGGAACUGCAGUUGAUACUGUCCGACUAGAGUACGAGAGAGGGAGGUAGAAUUCCAUGUGUAGCGGUGAAAUGCGUAGAUAUAUGGAGGAAUACCAGUGGCGAAGGCGGCCUCCUGGCUCGAUACUGACGCUGAGGUGCGAAAGCGUGGGGAUCAAACAGG